rnacentral:rRNA from 1 species
UACAGAGGUCUCAAGCGUUGUUCGGAUUCAUUGGGCGUAAAGGGUGCGUAGGCGGCGCGGUAAGUCGGGUGUGAAAUCUCGGAGCUUGACUCCGAAACUGCAUUCGAUACUGCCGUGCUUGAGGACUGGAGAGGAGACUGGAAUUUACGGUGUAGCGGUGAAAUGCGUAGAUAUCGGAAGGAACAUCGGUGGCGAAGGCGACCUUCUGGACAGAUACUGACACUGAGGCACGAAAGCGUGGGGAGCAAACAGG